rnacentral:rRNA from 1 species
UACGGAGGGGGCUAGCGUUGUUCGGAAUUACUGGGCGUAAAGCGCACGUAGGCGGCUUUGUAAGUUAGAGGUGAAAGCCCGGAGCUCAACUCCGGAAUUGCCUUUAAGACUGCAUCGCUAGAAUUGUGGAGAGGUGAGUGGAGUUCCGAGUGUAGAGGUGAAAUUCGUAGAUAUUCGGAAGAACACCAGUGGCGAAGGCGACUCACUGGACACAUAUUGACGCUGAGGUGCGAAAGCGUGGGGAGCAAACAGG